CCCCUAGGUGCCUGAAAGUCAGUAUUGUGCUAGCAGCUUUCAGAUGAAGAUGGAGAACUUUCAGCUCCUUCUGUACCAUGUCUGUCUGGAUGCUGCCAUGUUCCUGCCUUGAUGAUACUGAACUGAACCUCUGAACCUACUCCUCAAGAGUAAGAGGAAUGGUUUUCCUCCUGUUCAGACUACCUCAACUCCAGUUAUACAGCUUUGUUCAUCUCCAAGGACAUGAAAGUGCUAUGUAGGCUGCUGGUGAAAAAUGUCAUCAACAGUCUUAACCUGUUUGUGAACCCUGUGAGCUGUAACACAAGUAUUGCAAGAUAUUCCUCCUGAGGGUAAUAGUGGCACCAAUUUUAUAAUACCCAUGAUACAACUCAGAAUAUAUGAAGCUCAAGAAGAAGGAAGAUCAAUGUGUGGAUGCUUCAGUCCUUCUUAGAAGAAGGAAAAGAAUAUUCACAAGAGUUUUGUCCUCUCUAAAAGAAAUGCAGGAACGAAGAUGGAGCAGAGACAGAAGGAAUGGUCAACCAAUAACUGACCCAACAUUACACUCCUUUUAUGGG